rnacentral:rRNA from 1 species
UGGGGAAUAUUGCACAAUGGGGGAAACCCUGAUGCAGCGACGCCGCGUGAAGGAAGAAGUAUCUCGGUAUGUAAACUUCUAUCAGCAGGGAAGACAAUGACGGUACCUGACUAAGAAGCCCGGCUAACUACGUCGCC